UACAGAGGUCUCAAGCGUUGUUCGGAUUCAUUGGGCGUAAAGGGUGUGUAGGCGGUUCCUUAAGUUUGCUGUGAAAUCUCCCGGCUUAACCGGGAGGGUGCGGUGAAUACUGAGGGACUAGAGUACGGGAGAGGAAAGUGGAAUUCCUGGUGUAGCGGUGAAAUGCGUAGAUAUCAGGAGGAACACCGGUGGUGUAGACGGCUUUCUGGACCGUAACUGACGCUGAGACACGAAAGCGUGGGUAGCAAACAGG
rnacentral:rRNA from 1 species